ACGGGUGAGUUUGUUUCUCACAGGUGCGACUCUGUCUCUAUUUGCAUCAGGUUCAGUUUCUUCCUGGUUGACCUUGUGGGUGUGAAUGUUGUCACAGACCUGCCGGGCCAUCUUUCUGCAAGAAGAUAAAGGAAGACCAGGAGUGCCUGCCGAACUCCUAUGGAGGAAGUCUAGGAGAGGAAGGGGACAGGGAGGAAGAUGGUGUCUGCAAACCAGGAAGCAGCCUUGCCAGACACAGGAUUGGCCACAACCUUGACCCCAGACUUCCAGCCUCCAGAACUGUGAGAAAUAAAUGUCCAUAUUGACUAGGGGCACAGGGCAUGGGGGAACUGGUUCCAGACCUGCCUCCUGGGAAGUUGGGAGGGGGCAUUUCAACCUGUUAAUUUCUCAAAUUAUGUAGUCAUUCAAAAAGAAAUAGAAACACUUCAUU
rnacentral:lncRNA from 10 species